ensembl:lncRNA
GUUUUCGGCCUCUGGUCCCUUCAGCCCUUCAGCUCUGUUGGACAAAGGGACAUCUGUGCUUUCCCCGGCAGAGACUUGGGAAAUCUGAGGCCCUGGCUCUGUGGCUGCAGGCACUGGUCAUCAACUGCCAAAUGUACCUGGGGUCAACCUGGAAGUUCAAGGUGAUCACGGUAUGCAAACCAUCAAGGCUUCAACGUCCCACAAGGGUCAUCACUGGCUGGCAGUCUCUGAGGGGAUGGAGCUAAGGAUAUGGAGCAGAAGUUCAGUGCUAAUGAAAAAGGAAAGAUUUGCCAGGAGCCGAUUUGACCGGAAUGAUAUGGCAAGAGAAAAAAAUGCCACCAAGUUUUAACAGGGACAUGACAUAAGGUCAAGAUUUUGAACACCAUUUUGAGAACCACUGUGGCUUCAUUAUUGAGUCCCAUGAACUCUCUCACAAGCUCAGGGCUGGGUGGAUAAGGACUGGAGGGAAAAAUCUGCUUUUCCAGGAAUGGACCAAUAUGGAUUAUCUGGUGUUACAUAAAACUAGUAAUUCUACAGUUUAAUAAAAACACAAGUCGGCAGAUAAGAAAACGUGUAUCCUCUUAUGCUUAAGCCGCUUUCUAUGCUUAAGCAAGCUAUUUCUAAGGGCCUAGAACUUUCAGCUGAGAUUAAGGAAAUGAACACAUUAUAAAUCUGCAGGCAUUUAAGUCUCUUUGACACAAGACAAUGAACUCAUGAAAGAAGUUUUCAAUCAGAC